ACUGCAGAGUCUUUUUAAGGGCAGGGAUGACACGAUCGCCAUGGUUAUCAGUGCACCAGAUUUUAGAGGUGAGGAAGACAUCGUCGCGGGACUUUAUUAAACCAAGACUAACUGCUUGAGUUAUAGCUUCACCAAGAGCUUCCUCUGUUUCAUAAGCGGAAGCAGUAUCAAACAUCCUGUAACCAAGCUGAAUUGCUUCAAGCACAGCUUUUACGACUUCCUCUGGCUUAAGAUGGGGAUAUCCACCCGUGCCUAGUCCCAAAACAGGCAUAGCUUUUGCAUUUCCGGAGCUCAGAGCAACCUCUGGAACUCUUUUCAGAGCCAUCUUUUAAUCAGUAUCUCCUAAUAGCUAGCUUAAUAAGAUUAUAGAUAUGGAUAAAAUUUGCAGGUGAAAUGAAAUCCUUUGUUUAGUUCUUACAAGAUCAGGUAGGUAUGUAGAAAUUAUGAUACCAUUGAUGUCACACACACACAUCUAUAUCAAAGAAAAAUGCAUAUUUAGGUUGAAAAUUUGGAUUUGAUUUUGGCUGCUAUUGGUCAGCAUUUUGACUGAAGUAGUUGGCUGUUUAUAGAGGUAAACAAUAAAAGGCCUAAAUAUAUCUUCGAUUCGAUACAGGAAAAAAUUAAGAAAAAAAGAAAACAGCACCAAAAAGUCUGAGACUUGAAAUUAUUGGCCUGGCCUGAUAAUGGAUAUAGGCUGGAUAAGUUCAAAUAUAACUUGUUUCUGAUAAAAAUGACCAUCAUUCUGCACAACUUAUGAUUUUCUGGUCUGGGGAUCUUAACUAUCAUACCAGACUCGUCAUUUCAGUGUUUUUGGUCGUAAAAUUGAAGACUUUUUUGGUUUUUCUUUUCUGUAGCUCUAGCUUACAAUAGCAACCCUUUGCUCUUAGGCCGUCAUAAGGCCGCCUGCACUAAAGACUCAUAUGUUAAUUUGAAUAGUAUAAGUUCAUGUUGGGGCCAUGGACACCUCAUGGUUUUAGAUCGACUGGUUACUCAACAUAAUAUCAAAGCCGAUUUGAAUUGUUUACUGUCUGCAAUUGUACUAUUGAGGGUAAGUGUUUCUUAACAGAAUUGAAAUGUUUUAAACUCAGAACUAUAUCCUAACUCUUCUACGGAUCAGUUCUGUCAUGUCUACGUGUACAAGAAGGUAGGCACUAGCCAGCAUAUGCUGCAAAUAUGUGGAAUGGAGCUUUAGGUAAGAGGCUCAGCCCUCAAAUAUGAUCACUUGGUAAGCAUUGUAUGAUUGAAAGUGCUUGUAUUGUUACCAGAAAUAUCAGGAAUGAGGCUGAGUUGAGCAACUACAGAUUACCGAACGAAAAUAUAAAAUACAUAAUCACUAGAAAAAAACAGGAUUGACAAAUUGGCCGAAGUGCCUUAUUUCAGAUGGAUCACCUAUACUAUUAUAUUUAUGACAUAAAUCCUUAAAGUUCUCCAUCCCAGAGCUCCUCGAGUGUCUUGAAAGGGCCAGUUUCAGAGACAAAGAACUCCGCAAGGUUUGCCCUCCUCUGCGGUAUUGCAGCAAUCUUCUUGGACUCUUCAUCGCUCAACUCCCACCCAAAAAUUUCAAGAUUCUGCUUUAGUCUCUCUUUGUUGUAGCUCUUCAUCACAAUAACAAUCCCUUGCUCAUAAGCCCAUCUCAAGGCAAUCUGGGCUACAGACUUACCUUUCGACUUUGCAAUUUCAAUCAGAACCUCGGCUUCCAACACUCCUUUCGUCCCCCAAAAAGCUCCUGCUGCUCCUAGAGGAGAAUAAGCAGCAACCUUGAUUCCAUUUGCCUGACAGAAGGCCCUCAAUUUCCCCUGCUGCCAUGCUGGAUUCAAUUCCACCUUUAUACAUGAAUAGAUUAGUACAUAGUUUUUCGAUGUUAAUAGAGUAGUAGUUUACUAUUAAUUUGUAGUUUGGGAAUGCAAGCUUACUUGAUUGAUAGCAGGAGGAAUCUUGGCAAAAGCCAAAAUAUCCGCAAGCUUCUUGCAACUGAAAUUACUGACACCGAUUGAUUUUGUAAGGCCGAGACUUUGGCACUCUUCCAUUGCUGUCCAAACAGCUUUGAAGUCCAUUGCAGCAAAAUUCUCAGGGUUUAGUUGAAAAGGGUUUGAUCCAGCCUUCAUGCUCACCGGAAAAUGUAUAAGAUACUGAUCAAGAUAGUCCAACUUCAUAUCCCUGUCCAACAAUGAAUAAAAAUACUACUAACUGUUAGAAUAUAAUGAUCCUCGUAAAAAGCUUUUCCCUAACACCUCGUAAAAGCUACCUGAUUACCUCAAACUCUUUUGAAGGGCAGGAAGGACUCGGUCACCAUAAUUAUCAUGCAACCAGAGCUUUGAGGUAAUAAAAAGCUCAUCGCGAGACUUGAUUAGGCCACGACUAAUAGCUUGAGCUAUUGCUUCACCAAGAGCUUCCUCUGUUUGGUAAAAAGCAGCGGUAUCAAACAUCCUGUAACCAAGCUCAAUUGCGUCAAGCACAGCUUUCUUCGUAUUAGUUAUAACUUCUGGUGUCGGAUCAGAAGCUCCUAAUCCAAGUCCUAGAACUGGCAUAGGUUUUGCAUUUCCGGAGCUCAAACAAAUUUCUGGAAUAGCCAUCUUUUACUUAUAAUUUCUGGACAACUUAGUAUGUACUUAGAGUUUCUUUGAUUGCAUUAAAAGAUCAACAGAACUAUAUAUAAACAUGUGCAUGUGAUUAAUAUAAUCCACUGCAACAUUUCUUAGUUGAAUGAGGAACCUGAUCGGAAGGAGAGUAGUAUCUUCAGGGACUUCUUGGACGUCAUGGAUGAUGCUUUUAUGGUACUCCACAUUUUCUUUGUGAUUUUUCCAAGAAAUUGUUCAUUGGAUUUGAGAUAUAUUAAUAAACUUAUAGAUUGUUUAAAAUAAGAAAAUCAAGCAUGCAUGCAGGGGAAUCAAUGAAAGAAACCUUUGAUAAAUCAGUGAUUUUGACCUGACAAUAAUUUUCAAUUUUUCCAAGAGGCCAGGACAAAUUGAUUUGUGAUACUUGUGUUGACGAUAUAAAGUAACAUUGAAAUAUUAUAGACUUGAGAACACGAUGAAGAAGAUAAUUUUAAAAAUCAAUAUAAUUGAAAUUUAAUAAUCCGAACAAUAAUAAAAAAUAUUACUGCAGAGUCUUUUUAAGGGCAGGGAUGACACGAUCGCCAUGGUUAUCAGUGCACCAGAUUUUAGAGCUGAGAAAGACAUCAUCGCGGGAAUUUAUUAAACCAAGACUAACUGCUUGAGUUAUAGCUUCACCAAGAGCUUCCUCUGUUUCAUAAGCGGAAGCAGUAUCAAACAUCCUGUAACCAAGCUCAAUUGCUUCAAGCACAGCUUUUACGACUUCCUCUGGCUUAAGAUGGGGAUAUCCACCCGUGCCUAGUCCCAAAACAGGCAUAGCUUUUGCAUUUCCGGAGCUCAGAGCAACCUCUGGAACACUUUUCAGAGCCAUCUUUUAAUCAGUAUCACCUGAUAGCCAACUUAA
rnacentral:lncRNA from 1 species